AGUGAACGCUGGCGGUAUGCCUAACACAUGCAAGUCGAACGGCAGCACAGUAAGAGCUUGCUCUUACGGGUGGCGAGUGGCGGACGGGUGAGGAAUACAUCGGAAUCUACUUUUUCGUGGGGGAUAACGUAGGGAAACUUACUCUAAUACCGCAUACGACCUACGGGUGAAAGCAGGGGAUCUUUUGACCUUGCGCGAUUGGAUGAGCCGAUGUCGGAUUAGCUAGUUGGCGGGGUAAAGGCCCACCAAGGCGACGAUCCGUAGCUGGUCUGAGAGGAUGAUCAGCCACACUGGAACUGAGACAGGGUCCAGACUCCUACGGGAGGCAGCAGUGGGGAAUAUUGGGCAAUGGGGGCAAGCCUGAUCCAGCCAUACCGCGUGGGUGAAGAAGGCCUUCGGGUUGUAAAGCCCUUUUGUUGGGAAAGAAAAGCAGCAGGUUAAUACCCCGCUGUUCUGACGGUACCCAAAGAAUAAGCACCGGCUAACUUCGUG
rnacentral:rRNA from 1 species